AAGAAAAAAAACAGAGAAAGAAACGAGGGAAAAGAAGCAGGAAACGGUAAACAAGGAGGAAAAUUAAGCGUGGAAAUAUAACUUGACCAAGCUGAAAAUGAAUCACCUUGACCCCGAAGAUGCAAUAUUCCUGGUUGAUGCGUUCCUGGAUGAGUGCAAGGUAAAUAACAUUAUCUCAGUGGUGGAAAAAGCAUACUAAUUACAUGCUAAUUACAAGGUCUAAGACCAUAAUAGACUCUGAGGUAUAGGCAGGGAAGAAGUAUCAAGGUGCAAAACUGCAACACUCCAAACAAAGUGCAACUAAACAGUACCUGGUUCAAUGUCUUUAUUCAAAUGCAAGCUAUAGUGCUGAGCUGAGUUAAGUUCACACAUUAGAGCCAGUGAGAGUUUAAUUCAAUACUCUGUCAAAACGUUUCAAUUUCUUUUCUAUUUUUUAGUGUAGAACAGGUUUUCUAGAUCUGUCAGUACAGUACAGGACCACAACCGUUAGACUGAAUUUUUACAAUGUAAUAUUAUAACAUUGGUUUUAUAAUGAGAUGUUUAUAGGUGGGGAUAACCUUGGUGGGUGGUGGUUUAUUCUGUGGCUCAAUUGUUUAUUUAGGUGGAUCAGCAUGUGACAAACUAAAGGAGGGUCAAAACGAUCCACAAAGCUGUGUGUUUGGCUUGAUGAGGACAAAGAUGAUCAACCUCUGCCAAAAAGAUGUAGAGCUGGAGAGAAACGAAAGCGAGAUUCAGCUACUGUUUCUUCAGCAAGCGUUAAAAGUGUGUCCUGUGCUCCGUCUACCAGCACAACUGAAGACACUGUGAUCAUUGAAAAUGUUUUUUUCCCCUUAAUACUUGUUUCAUCAUUUUGUUAUGGUAACGAGACCUCUUGGGAAGUGGUGCUGAACAACCUUUCCCCUCAGACCGGAGGAACAGGCAAACUACGAUCACUCUACUGCACAGCCUGUGACCUUUUCCACACAUGAGGCUCUGUUGCUUCAUAACAGAGCAUCCAUGGUGGAGGGGUUCUUCAGACACCUGCCGCCAUCCACUUUUGUUCAGCAGCAUGAGGGAGGGAAAUUCUCCUAUCAUGAAAAAGGUAGUUUUUAAGUCUCAGGUUAUAUAGGCUGGUUUACAUUUUACACAAACCCUGGUUUACUCCAUCAAACAUGCUGGAUGAAGUUUUGUUUGAUAGAAACAACACCCUCUCUGUUGAGUUUAUGGUUUCAUUUACUCUAAUAUGUAAACUAAUUCUGCUUUUUAGAUUGGCAUGUUACCAAUCGUUCCUCCCUGCUGCGACUGCUCCACUGGGCAAACAAGCUUUUCCAAGGGAAAGCCAGUUAUUUUAAUUGGAAUGAAUGGAAGAUACAACCUCUUCCUUCCAUCAGUAAACUGCUCCUGUGGAAAAACCUUGCCAGUGACCAUAAGUGAUCUGGUUGAAAGUGGUUACUGGCCAGCCACUGUCAAUUUUGAGACCUUUUACUUGGUGGACUUGUUCACCACGUAUGAGGAUCUAAAAAUCACUGCCCCAGG